rnacentral:rRNA from 1 species
AUUGAACGCUGGCGGCAGGCCUAACACAUGCAAGUCGAGCGAGCGGCGGACGGGUGAGUAAUGUCUGGGAAACUGCCUGAUGGAGGGGGAUAACUACUGGAAACGGUAGCUAAUACCGCAUACCAUCAGAUGUGCCCAGAUGGGUUUAGCUAGUAGGUGGGGUAACGCCUCACCAAGGCGACGAUCCCUAGCUGGUCUGGGAGGAUGACCAGCCACACUGGAACUGAGACACGGUCCAGACGCCUACGGGAGGCAGCAGUGGGGAAUAUUGCACAAGGGGCACAAGCCUGAUGCAGCCAUGCCGCGUGUGGGAGGAAGUCCUUCGGGUUUUAAAGCACUUUAAGCGGGGAGGCGUUACCCGAAGAAGAAGCACCGGCUAACUCCGUGCCAGCAGCCGCGGUAAUUG